rnacentral:tRNA from 1 species
UACACUUGGCGUAGCUGGUAAACGCGCAGACCUCGAGAGUCUGAAAUCGCGGGUUCAAAUCCCGCAAUGUACA